UCCAUCGGGUGAGUCAGUAGCUAUCCUUGCUCUACCUGCUGUCCCUUCAUUUUAUGUCUGUAAAUACAUUCAUUCCUCCAUGUUUGCUAGCCUACUUACUGUUGUAUGUACUUGGCUGUAAUAUAAGCCUCAAUUUGUAACAUCAUUUAAAUAUGUUGCAGGGUUCUUGGUGAGGAUGAAUUCAAUUAUUUGUGAUAAAUGGUUUUGUUUUAGUUUUUCUGAACCCAGUGAAAUGAUGUGGUCAGACGGUUUGACAGAGAGAUUUAGAAGACGAAGAAGAAAUGGAAUCAGUGGAGAAGAUAGUUUGGACUACAAAAUGUAUCCAGGGCGAUGACAACCUCCAGUCCAUGAUCGUUGGCACGGUGAUAAGGAAGAUUAAGUCUUGCACAUGGAAGAAGCAGCGCUUCUUCAAGCUGCAGAAGGACUGCAUGACCAUCUGGUACAAGUCCAAGAAGGCCGGGAACACCCACUCCACAUAAAUCGAAGCAGCAUCUGUCAAAGGAGCUGUCGGACUGCGUGGUUUACUGCAAGAGUGUCCACUUCAGCAGCUUCAAGCACUCCCACAUUCACUCCAAGUUCUACGAGAUAUACUCCUUCACAGAGUCCAAAUCCCGCAAACACGUG